CUACGGGCGGCAGCAGUGGGGAAUAUUUGACAAUGGGCGAAAGCCUGAUCCAGCCAUGCCGCGUGUGUGAAGAAGGCCUUCGGGUUGUAAAGCACUUUCAGUGGGGAAGAAAGCCUUGGGGCUAAUACCCUCGAGGAAGGACAUCACCCACAGAAGAAGCACCGGCUAACUCCGUGCCAGCAGCCGCGGUAAUACGGAGGGUGCGAGCGUUAAUCGGAAUUACUGGGCGUAAAGCGCGCGUAGGCGGUCUGAUAAGCCGGUUGUGAAAGCCCCGGGCUCAACCUGGGAACGGCAUCCGGAACUGUCAGGCUAGAGUGCAGGAGAGGAAGGUAGAAUUCGCGGUGUAGCGGUGAAAUGCGUAGAGAUCGGGAGGAAUACCAGUGGCGAAGGCGGCCUUCUGGACUGACACUGACGCUGAGGUGCGAAAGCGUGGGUAGCAAACAGGAUUAGAUACCCCUGUAGUC
rnacentral:rRNA from 1 species